rnacentral:rRNA from 1 species
GACGUAGGGUCCGAGCGUUAAUCGGAAUUACUGGGCGUAAAGCGUGCGCAGGCGGGUUUGUAAGCCAGAUGUGAAAGCCCCGGGCUCAACCUGGGAACUGCAUUUGGGACUGCAAGGCUGGAGUACGGCAGAGGGAGGUGGAAUUCCACGUGUAGCAGUGAAAUGCGUAGAGAUGUGGAGGAACACCGAUGGCGAAGGCAGCCUCCUGGGCUAGUACUGACGCUCAUGCACGAAAGCGUGGGGAGCAAACAGG